rnacentral:piRNA from 1 species
AUAAUUUAUCUCUCUUUCCUCCUCUUUUGAUGCGCCCAUUACAGAAUCAUUAAAGAAAUUCGAAAUAUGCUCACAGCAAAAACUUUAAAACAUUUUUAUCCAAGAUGUUGGAUAAGGUCGAAAUAUAUAUUGUCUGUAAAGGGACUUUCGGUGAUAGAUGCGACCAAUAUUGAAAUGUAGAAACUCUAUAUAUCGGGGUUUCAAAUAGUGUUGUAAUACAAUUUCUAUCAAUUCUUGUCUUCAGUGAAUUCCCACUCAAUUCUUAGUUAUAACAAACCGAUGGCAAUAUUUCUCAUUCUCAACCCUUUAUCAAAAGUUUAUCGAAAAUUAUUCAACAAAUUAUUUUAUAACUAAAUAUUUCUGCGCUAAUGUUUAGAAAAUAACAAUUCUUUUACUCUUUUUCUCAUCAUAAAAGAUGUCAAAAAUACUAUUAUAGAAGUUAAUUCGGAGAUCCUGUCUUUGCUGUAAUAUUCUAUUUCAUGUAUUCGCUCUGAGUAUUACACACCGCUAACAUCAAGCAUUCCUCUAUUGUAAGUGUUUUUAGACAUGAUCAUGGACAAAGAAUCAAUCUUUCUCUUGUAGAAGCUAUAUUCGGAGAUCCUGUCUCCGCUGUAAUAUUCUAUUUCAUGUAUUUGUUCUGAGUAUCACACACCGCUUACAUCAAGCACUUCUCUAUUGUAAGUGUUUCUAUACAUGAUCAUGGACAAAGAAUCAGUAUUUCUCAUGUAGAAGCUAUAUUCGGAGAUCCUGUCUCUGCUGUAAUAUUCUAUUUCAUGUAUUUGCUCUGAGUAUUACACACCGCUAACAUCAAGCACUUCUCUAUUGUAAGUGUUUCUAUACAUGAUCAUGGACAAAGAAUCAAUCUUACUAUUGUAGAAGCUAUAUUCGGAGAUCCUGUCUUUGCUGUAAUAUUCGAUUUCAUGUAUUCGCUCUGAGUAUUACACGCCGCUUACAUCAAGCAUUCCUCAUUUGCAAGUGUUUCUAUACAUGAUCAUGGACAAAUAAUCAAUCUUCCUCUUGUAGAAGCUAUAUUCGGAGAUCCUGUCUCCGCUGUAAUAUUCUAUUUCAUGUAUUCGCUCUGAGUAUUACACGCCGCUUACAUCAAGCAUUCCUCAUUUGCAAGUGUUUCAAUACAUGAUCAUGGACAAAGAAUCAGUCUUUCUCUUGUAGAAGCUAUAUUCGAAGAUCCUGUCUCCGCUGUAAUAUUCUAUUUCAUGUAUUCGCUCUAAGUAUAGAGUUUUAAAGAAAGUGUUAUAGAGAGCUAUUACACAACACUGACAUCAAGCACUCCUCUAUUGUGUUUCUAGACGUGAUUAUCGACAAAGACUGCACAGAAUAGAUUUCAUGUAUUCGCUCUGAGUAUAGAGUUUUGAAGAAAGAGUUAUAUAUAUUUAAAAUAAUGAAAGCAUAUCCUGACCAGGAGCACAUGUGUUUUUUAGAUGGCAGAGCGCCAUCUAGUGGAACAUAAAUCAACUAAACAUUGAUUUAACCUAUUACACAACCACUGACAUCAAGCUCUCCUCUUUAGUAAGUGUUUCUGGAGAUAAUCACACAUCGAUAAAGACUGCAACUUUAUAAUGAUUCAGAAUAUAAUUGAUGUAUUCGCUCUGAGUAUAGAGUUUCAAGACAUCAAACACUCCUCUAUUGCAAGUGUUUCUAGACAUGAUUAUCGACAAAGACUGUAACUCUAAAAUGAUCCAGAAUAGAUUGAAAUAUAUGGGAAUAUAAUUUCAUGACAAAAUAUUAAGACAAUCGGAAAGUAAAUCUCUGAGGAUCCUCCACGGAUGACUUUCGUGCCAAGUUGCCGCCAGCUAAUGAGUCCAUUAUAAACAAUGGCUGUACUUCCUGGGAGCUUCACCUCGCCGCUGUGCCCAGGGCAGCUUGUUAGUCCUGCCUGGACGCUACAAAUUGGUGUUUCGUGAUCUGGGCCACAUUUCUGCUCCUUUAUUCUAUUUAUUGGUCUCAGAGUGUAGUGAAUCAUUGAAGGAAGGAUUGUUGACUUUGCUUAUGGAAUUUUUAAAGAUACUGAUUCCAAGAAGGUUAAUUAAACAUUAUUGAUUUACAAGAGAGAGAACGAAAUUAAAGAGAAACUUAUAACAUAGUAAAACAAAGAGAAACUUUUCUUCUUACGGUUAACACCUUUAAUACUUGUGAUCUUGCACAUAUACUUUUUGGGAACAAUUAAUUAAUUAAACUCUUAUGAUACAAGAGAGAUCUUUCUUCGAAUUAAAGAUACUUCGGCCAGUAAAUCUUUUUAUUAUCUCGAUGUUUCGACAAAAAUCUUUGGUCCUCGUCAAGAACAAACAAAAAUUAAAACAUUUGGCAAAGCGUUAAAAAUUAUUCUAUAAGAAUAAAUCUUUAAUUUGCCGAACUAUGAAUGCUGGCCAGGCAGCCUCUAUCUUUAUGACAACAAAGAUCUUGCAACAUUUUAUUAUGAUUAUCUUUGGAUUAACUUUCCUACUUGAGAUUUAGCAUUUGAAGUUUUGUCGAAUGAAGAAUUUCUGUGAUUUUUUUUCCUUUAGAACGAUACACUUACUUAGAGCUCUGAAAUAUAUUUAGAGAUCCCACAGCAAGGAUAUCUCGUUUAGUCUGUCUUUGCUUAUUUAUCUACAUGGCCGUGCUCUGCUUGUAAGCACACCAUGUUUGAAGGAGGAUAUUACAUUUUUCCUAUAAUAAAAUGUUGUUUUUCGAAAUAAGCUUCUAUCCAUUUUCUAACAAACUUACAACAGAUUCCGAUACUCUGAGUAUAUUCUUCAAGUAUUCUAUACAUUGUUCCAAUGAUAUUGCGUUCGACUUAGACAUAAAUAUGAAGCUUUCAUCAAAAUAUUCAAUUUAGAAAUUCUAUUUUUAGCUAGGAUACUGAAGUGAGCUAUCUUCAACACACACAACCAAGUUUGGUUUCAAUACCUAAUAUAUAGGUGCAAUCUAUAUUCCUUUUAUAUCUAUUUGAAUUAUUUCCUCACUUGUGCAUUUGGUUGAAAUGGUUUAGUGGCUUGAUACCAUCCGAUCUCUCCUAACAAAUCCAGAGUAUUCUCAUAUAUUGUUCCAAUGAUAUUGCGUCAGAUUAAGACAUAGCUAUGAAGAUUUCAACAAAAUAUUCAAUUUAGAAAUUCUAUUUUUAUUUAGGAUACUGAAGUGAGCUAUCUUCAACACUAAGUUUGGUUUCAAUACCUAACACAUAGGUGCAUUCUAUAAGUCACAAUCUACAAUCUACGUGUGUAUUCCCUUUAUAUCUAUUGGAAUUAUUUCUUCAUUUGUUCAUUUGGUUGAAAUGGUUUAGUGGUCUGAUACCAUUCGAUCUCUCCUAACAAAUCCAGAGUUGUACUCCCUUGUCUCAACAUUCUAUAUUUAAAUAAGAACAUAAACAGUAGCAAUGCGUUUCUUUAUUCGUGCAAAGUGCAAGUGUUCGGAUCUUUUUCCAAAAGCUUGCACUUUGCACGAAUAAAAGGAAACGCAUUGGUACUUUUUAUAUUUUUAUUUUAUACUUUAUAGAACUCAUCUCUUCUAAUACAUUGUGUAUUGUGGUCUUCAUUGACCCGGGCUUCAAACAUGGCGUUGCUAUUUUCUUUGGUUAUCUAGCUAUAUGAAUGGAAAUGACCUCAUAAAGCUAGGUUACCGAAGCUA